rfam:Triticum aestivum genome assembly, contig: Triticum_aestivum_CS42_TGACv1_scaffold_306208_4AS
UUCCACCUAUGAUGAGUCGCAAACCUUAUUGCCUACAUUGUUUGAUCAAUCUUAUGAGAAGCUUCCUCAAGGACAGAGGAUGAA